GACUCUCGGCAACGGAUAUCUCGGCUCUCGCAUCGAUGAAGAACGUAGCGAAAUGCGAUACCUGGUGUGAAUUGCAGAAUCCCGUGAACCAUCGAGUCUUUGAACGCAAGUUGCGCCCGAAGCCCUACGGGCCGAGGGCACGUCUGCCUGGGCGUCACGCA
rnacentral:rRNA from 1 species